CCUCCCUAUCUCCUCCCUCCCUUUCUCCUCUCUCCCUUCCUCUAUCUCCCUCCUUCUCCUCCCUUUCUCAACUCUCCCACCCUCUCUCUCUUCUCCCAGCUCCUUCUCUUCUCUCCCCUCCCUCUCUCCUUUCUCCCCUCACUCUCUCCUCUCUCCCUCCCUCUCUGCUCUCUCCCUCCCUCUCUGCUCUAGUUGACUUCAGUGGUGGCUCAGUGGGCAGUAAAGGAGUGAGGGAGGGCUCUCAGACCUCUACAGACACAGGUCCGGCCUUCGAGGCAUGCCUACUACCCCGCUCCUCUCUGGUGCCCCCCUCAGCCCUCCUCCCCAGGAAGGGCAGUGUGAAGGCAGCCACCAUGGGGCGCACCUUGCCCCUCUCCAAAGGCCCUGCCAACUCUCCCUUGCACCUGCCCAAAGAAUGCAACCGCUCUCUUGGGGACCUCAAGGUGACGAGGGGGUUGGUGGCUCGCUUCCUGCAGCGCUCCAAACGGAACCUGGCGUCCGCCGCAGAGCAUUCUGGGAACACGGGACAGGGUCAGAAAAGGAGAGGCGGGGUGGAGGGCAACGGGACAGGCCAUCUCCCUUUAGAGCAGGUGUUACGUAACUCCUGGGGGGCCAGCCAGGGAACCCACCCGCCAUACCCUCAUCACCGUGGUCACCACCACUCCCAUAGCGACAGCCGCCACAACCGCCGUCAUAGCAACCAACCCCCUGUGACGGAGGGGAUCCACUUGCGCAGCUGCGGCGACUUAAGCUCCUCCUCCUCUGCGUCGCUAUGGCGAUUACUGACGGCCAACCCCCCUCACGGGUCAUCAGGGACACUGUACACAGAGUCAGCCCUGUAAGAGGGGGAGGAGGGAGGAAAGAUGGGAGGGGAGGGGGAGGAAAAGGAGAGGAGGCAGAAAGUGUACCCACACAGAGGAGAGUGGAGGCAUGGUAUGGUCUAAUGAAGAAGAGAUACAAAGGGAGGAGGAGAGGUGGAGGAUGGUAGGAUGAGUUAGACAGGGGAGAGGAAGGAUGAAGGAACAGGCUACUGACAUAUCCUGAUGGGCGAUGGAGGGAGUCAGCAUUAUGAGGAGGGAACGACUGGACCUUUGCUACAGCCUUGUUCCAAUACUUUGAACAUGCAUCCUACCUCUUUCCCUUCCUCCUUCCCCUUGGAGCCCUCCUCUGCACCUGCGCCUGGCCUUCCUUUCCUGAACUUUGACCUCUCAACUAACCUCCUACCUUCAACCUCCACCUAGCCAUACUGAAAACAACUCUAUCUGUCCUCUCCAACUCUCUGGGAUCUCUCUCUAACUUCAAGAGUAGAGAGGAUGGAGAGAAGGAGUAGGAUAAUGAAGUUUCCCCUAGACUCUGAGCUAUGGUCAGUUUAGUGUUUCUCCUCUUAAUGGUUAAGGUUAGGAUCAGUGGAGCAUAAGCUGAUCCUAGAUCUGUGUCUAAGGUAAACACUUUUCUGGAGCUGUGAACAUCACUCUUACACGAACCGCAUACACUCAUUAAACUGCUCACUCUUUUUCAAAACUCAAAUGUACGUUCAUUUGUCCAGCUCUUCAUCCGGAGCGAAACUC
rnacentral:lncRNA from 13 species